rnacentral:snRNA from 1 species
UUCAUAUCACAUGAUAUCUUUCC